GCCCGCGGCCUAUCAGCUAGUUGGUGAGGUAACGGCUCACCAAGGCUAUGACGGGUAGCUGGUCUGAGAGGACGACCAGCCACACUGGAACUGAGACACGGUCCAGACACCUACGGGCGGCAGCAGUCGAGAAUUUUUCUCAAUGGGGGAAACCCUGAAGGAGCGACGCCGCGUGGAGGAUGAAGGUCUUCGGAUUGUAAACUCCUGUCAUUUGGGAACAAUUGUCACCGAUUAACUGUCGGGGGCUUGAUAGUACCAGAAGAGGAAGAGACGGCUAACUCUGUGCCAGCAGCCGCGGUAAUACAGAGGUCUCAAGCGUUGUUCGGAUUCAUUGGGCGUAAAGGGUGCGUAGGUGGCGGGGUAAGUCUGGUGUGAAAUCUCGGGGCUCAACCCCGAAACUGCACUGGAUACUGCCUUGCUUGAGUACUGGAGAGGAGAUUGGAAUUUACGGUGUAGCAGUGAAAUGCGUAGAUAUCGUAAGGAGGACCAGUGGUGAAGGCGAAUCUCUGGACAGUUACUGACACUGAGGCACGAAGGCCAGGGGAGCAAACGGGAUUAGAUACCCCGGUAGUCCUGGCAGUAAACGGUGCGCGUUUGGUGUGGGAGGAUUCGACCCCUUCUGUGCCGGAGCUAACGCGUUAAACGCGCCGCCUGGGGAGUACGGUCGCAAGAUUAAAACUCAAAGAAAUUGACGGGGGCCCGCACAAGCGGUGGAGUAUGUGGCUUAAUUCGAUGCAACGCGAAGAACCUUACCUAGCCUUGACAUGCUUCUCUAAGUCGGUGAAAGCCGGCGAGUGUAGCAAUACACAAUUUGCACAGGUGCUGCAUGGCUGUCGUCAGCUCGUGUCGUGAGAUGUUGGGUUAAGUCCCGCAACGAGCGCAACCCCUGUGAACUGUUGCCACCGGCCUUCGGGCCGAGCACUCUGUUCAGACUGCCCUGUGAAACGGGGAGGAAGGUGGGGAUGACGUCAAGUCAGCACGGCCCUUACGGCUAGGGCUGCACACGUACUACAAUGCUCAGUACAGAAUGAACCGAAACCGCGAGGUGGAGGAAAUCCCUAAAACUGAGCCCAAUUCGGAUUGGAGGCUGCAACUCGCCUCCAUGAAGCCGGAAUCGCUAGUAAUGGCGUAUCAGCUACGACGCCGUGAAUACGUUCCCGGGCCUUGUACACACCG
rnacentral:rRNA from 1 species